AACUCGCCUGUAUGAAGUCGGAAUUNCUAGUAAUCGCAGAUCAGCAUGCUGCGGUGAAUACGUUCCCGGGCCUUGUACACACCGCCCGUCACACCAUGGGAGUCGGUAACACCCGAAGUCGGUAGCCUAACCGUAAGGAGGGCGCCGCCGAAGGUGGGAUUGAUGACUGGGGUGAAGUCGUAACAAGGUAUC
rnacentral:rRNA from 1 species